GCUGAGGAGGAGGGGAGCAGAAGUCCAGAGCCUGGCAGGCUGGGAUUGAACAUUUGCUGUGCUAAUCCACUUGUGAAUACUCGCUGCAUGUAGUGUAAACACCUCGACAGCCUGUUCAUAUGUGCCUGUCAACUCAAUCGUUUCCUCCCCCAGGGUUCCAGGCCUGCUGCCUGGGACAGAGCCCCAGAACUGACAGAGGCAGAUAACCUCAGAGAAGGCAAAAUGAUAGUCUUAUGCUUCAGCCCUGUUCUCUCUGGUCCUCACUUUUCCCCAGAUGUCAGAGCUACCGGUGCUGCAGGCAUGCGAGCCCAGAGCCGCUUGCUCUCCUCCCACGAGUCAGAGCCUGGAAGGGAAGAAAGAGAGAGUGGAGAGGGAUCUGGCCUGGCCCCCAUGGUGUCCUCGCCGCCUUGCGAGGCAGAUUGCGUCUGAAAAUCAUA